UACGUAGGGGGCAAGCGUUGUCCGGAUUUACUGGGCGUAAAGAGCGUGUAGGCGGCCAAACAGGUCCGUUGUGAAAACUGGAGGCUCAACCUCCAGACGUCGACGGAAACCGUGUGGCUAGAGUCCGGAAGAGGAGAGUGGAAUUCCUGGUGUAGCGGUGAAAUGCGUAGAGAUUGGGAAGAACACCGGUGGCGAAAGCGCUCUACUGGACUGCAACUGACACUCAGGGACGAAAGCUAGGGGAGCGAAUGGG
rnacentral:rRNA from 1 species